rnacentral:rRNA from 1 species
GUGGGGAAUUUUGGACAAUGGGCGCAAGCCUGAUCCAGCAAUGCCGCGUGCAGGAAGAAGGCCUUCGGGUUGUAAACUGCUUUUGUACGGAACGAAACGGUCCGGGUUAAUACCCUGGGCUAAUGACGGUACCGUAAGAAUAAGCACCGGCUAACUACGUGCCAGCAGCCGCGGUAAUACGUAGGGUGCAAGCGUUAAUCGGAAUUACUGGGCGUAAAGCGUGCGCAGGCGGUUUUGUAAGACAGGCGUGAAACCCGCGGGCUCAACCUGGGAAUUGCGCUUGUGACUGCAAGGCUGGAGUGCGGCAGAGGGGGAUGGAAUUCCGCGUGUAGCAGUGAAAUGCGUAGAUAUGCGGAGGAACACCGAUGGCGAAGGCAAUCCCCUGGGCCUGCACUGACGCUCAUGCACGAAAGCGUGGGGAGCAAACAGGAUUAGAUACCCCAGUAGUCC